UACGGGGGGGGUAAGCGUUGUUCGGAAUUACUGGGCGUAAAGGGCCCGUAGGCGGCCAACUAAGUCAUACGUGAAAUCCCUCAGCUUAACUGGGGAACUGCGUGUGAUACUGGAUGGCUUGGAUCCGGAAGAGGGAUGCGGAAUUCCAGGUGUAGCGGUGAAAUGCGUAGAUAUCUGGAGGAACACCGGUGGCGAAGGCGGCAUCCUGGGCCGGUAUUGACGCUGAGGAGCGAAAGCCAGGGGAGCAAACGGG
rnacentral:rRNA from 1 species